UACGGGAGGCAGCAGUGGGGAAUAUUGCACAAUGGGCGAAAGCCUGAUGCAGCUAUGCCGCGUGUAUGAAGAAGGCCUUAGGGUUGUAAAGUACUUUCAUCGGGGAGGAAAAAAACAAAACUAAUAAUUUUAUUUCUUGACGUUACCCGAAAAAGAAGCACCGGCUAACUCCGUGCCAGCAGCCGCGGUAAUACGGAGGGUGCUAGCGUUAAUCAGAAUUACUGGGCGUAAAGAGCACGUAGGUGGUUUUUUUAAGUCAGAUGUGAAAUCCCUGGGCUUAACCUAGGAACUGCAUUUUGAAACUGAAAUACUAGAGUAUCGUAGAGGGAGGUAGAAUUCUAGGUGUAGCGGUGAAAUGCGUAGAUAUCUGGAGGAAUACCUGUGGCGAAAGCGGCCUCCUAAACGAAUACUGACACUGAGGUGCGAAAAGCGUGGGGAGCAAAACAGGGAUUAGAUACC
rnacentral:rRNA from 1 species